CAAGUCUAUUGUUGGUGUCCCUCACUGUCUGAAUAUGCCAUAGAGUACUACUGAGUUAUCUCCCAUUUGUGGUUGUGUAGGAACUUGCAUCUGAGACUCUCCACUGUCGUGUUCUGCACUCCUGGUAGGUAGGCCAUUGAUAUUGUAAUGCACCAGUUCCAUAGCAUUAGUGCUUCCUCACAAAGGGAAGGUAAUCUGGCACCCAUUGAUGAUUUAUGUCGUACAUACAUGCUAGGUUGUCUGUCAUGACCCUUGUGUGUGUACCUCUAAUCAGCAGAAGGAAAUAAGCACACGCAUUCCUGAGUGCUCUGAAUUUGAGGACAGUGAUAUGAACACAUGCCUCCGUGGGUGACCACUUGCCCCAUGUUGUGAGGUUGUUGAGAUGUGUUCCCCAUCCUAUAAGGGAUGCGUCAAUGGUGAGGAGUAGUGCCGGAGGGGGGUUGGGCUGUGCAAACGAGAUCCCCGUGCAGAUGUUUGCUGGGUCCUUCCACCACUUCAAGGAUUGCUUGACUUUGGUGGGUAAUGAUAGGGGCUUGUCUAGGCUGUCUCUGAUUGGCCUGUAAACUGAGGUGAACUAUGACUGGAGACACCUCAUGCAAAACCUGGCAUAAGCUAUCACAGAUGUGUCUACAGCCAUGGGUCCCAACAGUUGAAGGCAGCGUCUGGCUGACAUUUGAGGGCUGGUUUGCACUGGCUCCUCAAGCUGUUCCACUCUUAUAGAAUCUGUUUUGUGGGAGGAGCGCUCUCACUCGGAGAGAGUCGAGAUUGGCUCCUAUGAACUCUAAUCUCUGUACUGAGGUUAACAUUUAUUUUUGGACGUUGAUUUGUAGGCCCAGGCUUCUGAACAAGCCCAUAGUCAUAUGGGUAACCUGCAGAGUUUGGUCGAAGGAACGAGCCCUGAUGAGGCAGUUGUCUAAACCCCCAUUUAGAUGGGGACAGAUCAUGAUUCUCUGGAAAUGAAGAUGAGCUGCCACUACAAUGAAGACCUUGGAGAAUACUCUGGGAGCCGAUGAUAGCCCGAAAAGGAGUACACUGUACUGGUGGUUGUCCUGUCUUGGGGUGUACAAAUCCCCAACAACCAAAGAGUAGCCCUGGAGUCUUUGUGUGUGUGUGGAGGGAUGCGUCCGUCUUUUCUGCAAACAAUUUGGUGCCUUUGAAGGGAAGGUCCUCUGUGGUUGUCUGUACUUCUUUGGGGAAGCCAGAUAAAUGUAGCCAAGAGGCUCAUCGCAUCACAAUUGCUGUGAAGAUGGAUCGUGCUGCAGAAUCACCUACGUCGAGCACUGAUUGAAGAGCCAUCUUGGCUACCAGUUGUCCUUUGAUAAUGGCCCUAAACUGAUCUCUGUGUUAUUCCAAAAGCUGAUCAAUAAAUAAAUUGAGUUUGGAGUAA